AGUGAACGCUGGCGGUAGGCCUAAUACAUGCAAGUCGAACGGCAGCACAGUAAGAGCUUGCUCUUACGGUUGGCGAGUGGCGGACGGGUGAGGAAUACAUCGGAAUCUACUUUUUCGUGGGUGAUAACGGAGGGAAACUGACGCUAAUACCGCAUACGACCUACGGGUGAAAUCAGGGGAUAUUCGGACCUUUCGCGAUUGAAUGAGCCGGUGUCGCAUUAGCGAGUUGGCGAGGUAACGGCCCACCAAGGCGACGAUCCGUAGCUGACCUGAGAGGAUGAUCGGCCACACUGGAACUGAGACACGGUCCAGACGCCUACGGGAGGCAGCAGUAGGGAAUCUUCCGCAAUGGGCGAAAGCCUGACGGAGCAACGCCGCGUGAGUGAAGAAGGUCUUCGGAUCGUAAAACUCUGUUAUUAGGGAAGAACAAAUGUGGAAGUAACUAUGCACGUCUUGACGGUACCUAAUCAGAAAGCCACGGCUAACUACGUG
rnacentral:rRNA from 1 species